AACCCAUCCCCGAGUGAACUGGUGGAUACGAAGGACCCUGUACCAGAUCUCUGACUCUGAUGCUUUCGCUGAUGGACUCGCAGGCCGUCGAAGAAAGGUUGGACGAAAUCAAUCAAGCUGAAGGUGAAAAGGGCUGGUUCUUGGCCUCCUUCACACCAUCCAGCAGCGCGACAUGCCAGCCACCCCGCCCUGAAUCUUAAAGAGGAUCGACCCCACCAAGGGAAUAUGAGCCGCUUCCCGCUCGCGUGCUGGAAAAGGCUGCAAAGAAGGGUAUUUCUGUGGUUGCUUGACCGCUGACCGCCAACUACC